UUAACUCAAAUUUGUAUAGAGUUGUAACGUUUACCCACGUUUGCCGCUAGGGGCGCUGUUGCAACGGCAUACAAAGUAUUCAACUG
rnacentral:pre_miRNA from 1 species